AUCCAGUGAUGAGUCUAAAAUAGGACGAAAUGCGCAUCCUAUAU
rnacentral:hammerhead_ribozyme from 1 species